UACGAAGGGGGCUAGCGUUGUUCGGAAUUACUGGGCGUAAAGCGCGUGUAGGCGGGUCUUUAAGUCGGGGGGGAAAUCCUGGAGCUCAACUCCAGAACUGCCUUCGAUACUGGAGAGCUCGAGUCCGGGAGAGGUGAGUGGAACUGCGAGUGUAGAGGUGAAAUUCGUAGAUAUUCGCAAGAACACCAGUGGCGAAGGCGGCUCACUGGCCCGGUACUGACGCUGAGGUGCGAAAGCGUGGGGAGCAAACAGG
rnacentral:rRNA from 1 species